rnacentral:rRNA from 1 species
AAACAUGUCUUUUUGUGAUAAUUUUAAAGUCUAGCCUGCCCACUGAAUAAUUUUAAAUGGCCGCAGUAUCCUAACUGUGCAAAGGUAGCAUAAUCAUUAGUCUUUUAAUUGAAGGCUGGUAUGAAUGGCUGGACGAGGUAUUAACUGUUUCAAAUGAAUUUUUUAUAGAAUUUUAUUUUUUAGUCAAAAAGCUAAAAUUUAAUUAAAAGACGAGAAGACCCUAUAAAUCUUUACUUUUUAGUUAUUUUAAUUAUAAAGAUAUAUUUUAUUAUAAUAAUGAAAAAAGUUUUAUUGGGGUGAUAUUAAAAUUUAAUGAACUUUUAAUUUUAUUAAAACAUUAAUUAAUGAAUAAUUGAUCCAUUAUUAGUGAUUAAAAAAUUAAGUUACUUUAGGGAUAACAGCGUAAUUUUUUUGGAGAGUUCUUAUCGAUAAAAAAGAUUGCGACCUCGAUGUUGGAUUAAGAAAAAAUUUAGGUGUAGUCGCUUAAAUAUUAAGUCUGUUCGACUUUUAAUUUCUU